rnacentral:rRNA from 1 species
UACGUAGGGGGCAAGCGUUGUCCGGAUUUAUUGGGCGUAAAGAGCGUGUAGGCGGCCAGACAGGUCCGUUGUGAAAACUCGAGGCUCAACCUCGAGAUGUCGAUGGAAACCGUCUGGCUAGAGUCCGGAAGAGGAGUGUGGAAUUCCGCGUGUAGCAGUGAAAUGCGUAGAUAUGCGGAGGAACACCGAUGGCGAAGGCAAUCCUCUGGGCCGAUACUGACGCUGAGGAGCGAAAGCGUGGGGAGCGAACAGG